CCUACGGGGGGCAGCAGUGAGGAAUAUUGGUCAAUGGGCGCGAGCCUGAACCAGCCAAGUCGCGUGAGGGAAGACGGUCCUAUGGAUUGUAAACCUCUUUUGUCGGGGAGCAAAAGACGCCACGCGUGGCGUUCCGAGAGUACCCGACGAAAAAGCAUCGGCUAACUCCGUGCCAGCAGCCGCGGUAAUACGGAGGAUGCGAGCGUUAUCCGGAUGUAUUGGGUUGAAAGGGUGCGCAGGCGGAAGAGCAAGUCAGCGGUAAAAGUGAGAGGCUCAACCUCUUCGAGCCGUUGAAACUGGUGGUCUUGAGUGAGCGAGAGGGGUGCGGAAUGCGUGGUGUAGCGGUGAAAUGCAUAGAUAUCACGCAGAAAUCCGAUUGCGAAGGCAGCAUACCGGCGCUCAACUGACGCGCAUGCACGAAAGUGUGGGUAUCGAACAGGAUUAGAUACCCCGGUAGUC
rnacentral:rRNA from 1 species